CACCUACGGGUGGCUGCAGUGGGGAAUCUUGCACAAUGGGGGAAACCCUGAUGCAGCGACGCCGCGUGAGCGAUGAAGCCCUUCGGGGUGUAAAGCUCUUUCGACGGGAACGAUAAUGACGGUACCCGGAGAAGAAGCUGCGGCUAACUACGUGCCAGCAGCCGCGGUAAUACGUAGGCAGCAAGCGUUGUUCGGAGUUACUGGGCGUAAAGAGUGCGUAGGUGGUGCCCUAAGUCUGUUGUGAAAUCUCCCGGCUUAACUGGGAGGGUGCGGUGGAAACUGGGGUGCUUGAGUGUGGGAGAGGUAAGCGGAAUUCCUGGUGUAGCGGUGAAAUGCGUAGAUAUCAGGAGGAACACCGGUGGUGUAGACGGCUUACUGGACCACGACUGACACUGAGGCACGAAAGCGUGGGUAGCAAACAGGAUUAGAUACCCUGGUAGUCCACGCCCUAAACGAUGCAUACUUGGUGUGAGCCAUUCAUUUGGUUCGUGCCGGAGCUAACGCGUUAAGUAUGCCGC
rnacentral:rRNA from 1 species